AAUGGAGGAAACUCUGAUGCAGCAACGCCGCGUGAGCGAUGAAGGCCUUCGGGUCGUAAAGCUCUGUCCUCAAGGAAGAUAAUGACGGUACUUGAGGAGGAAGCCCCGGCUAACUACGUGCCAGCAGCCGCGGUAAUACGUAGGUGGCAAGCGUUGUCCGGAAUUACUGGGCGUAAAGAAUGCGUAGGUGGAUAUGCAAGUCAGAUGUGAAAUACCCGGGCUCAACUUGGGUGCUGCAUUUGAAACUAUAUAUCUAGAGUGCAGGAGAGGAAAGCGGAAUUCCUAGUGUAGCGGUGAAAUGCGUAGAGAUUAGGAAGAACACCAGUGGCGAAGGCGGCUUUCUGGACUGUAACUGACACUGAGGCAUGAAAGCGUGGGGAGCAAA
rnacentral:rRNA from 1 species